rnacentral:rRNA from 1 species
CCGCACAAGCGGCGGAGCAUGCGGAUUAAUUCGAUGCAACGCGAAGAACCUUACCAAGGCUUGACAUACACCGGUAACGCCCAGAGAUGGGUGCCCCCUUUGUGGUCGGUGGACAGGUGGUGCAUGGUUGUCGUCAGCUCGUGUCGUGAGAUGUUGGGUUAAGUCCCGCAACGAGCGCAACCCUUAUCCUUAGUUGUUUCCACGAAAGUGGUUACCCUCUAAGGAGACUGCCUCGGACAACGGGGAGGAAGGUGGGGAUGACGUCAAGUCCGCAUGCUCCUUACGUCUAGGGCUACACACGUCCUACAAUGGGGUUGACAAUGGGAUGCAGUACCGCAAGGUGGAGCGAAUCCCCAAACGACCCCUCAGUUCGGAUUGCAGUCUGCAACUCGACUGCAUGAAGUCGGAAUCGCUAGUAAUGGCAGGUCAGCAUACUGCCGUGAAUACGUUCCCGGGCCUU